rnacentral:rRNA from 1 species
AUUGAACGCUGGCGGCAGGCCUAACACAUGCAAGUCGAACGAGUGGCGGACGGGUGAGUAAUGUCUGGGAAACUGCCCGAUGGAGGGGGAUAACUACUGGAAACGGUAGCUAAUACCGCAUACCAUCGGAUGUGCCCAGAUGGGAUUAGCUUGUAGGUGAGGUAACGGCUCACCUAGGCGACGAGCCCUAGCUGGUCUGAGAGGAUGACCAGCAACGUUGGAAGUGAGACACGGUCCAGACGCCUAGGGGAGGAAGCAGGGGGGAAUAUGGCAGAAGGGGCGCAAGCCUGAUGCAGCCAGGCCGCGUGUAUGAAGAAGGCCUUCGGGUUGUAAAGUACUUUCAGCGGGGAGGCGUUACCCGCAGAAGAAGCACCGGCUAACUCCGUGCCAGCAGCCGCGGUAAUAC